GAUGAAGAACGCAGCGAAAUGCGAUAAGUAAUGUGAAUUGCAGAAUUCAGUGAAUCAUCGAAUCUUUGAACGCACAUUGCGCCCGCCAGUAUUCUGGCGGGCAUGCCUGUUCGAGCGUCAUUUCAACCAUCAAGCCCCCGGGCUUGUGUUGGGGCCCUGCGGCUGCCGCAGGCCCUGAAAAGCAGUGGCGGGCUCGCUGUCACACCGAGCGUAGUAGCAUACAUCUCGCUCUGGGCGUGCUGCGGGUUCCGGCCGUUAAACCACCUUUUAACCCAAGGUUGACCUCGGAUCAGGUAGGAAGACCCGCUGAACUUAAGCAUAUCAAUAAGCGGAGGA
rnacentral:misc_RNA from 1 species